rnacentral:rRNA from 1 species
UGAACGCUAGCUACAGGCUUAACNCAUGCAAGUCGAGGGCAGCAUUUCGCUAGCAAUAGUGAAGAUGGCGACCGGCGCACGGGUGAGUAACGCGUAUCCAACCUGCCCAUCACUUGGGGAUAACCUUGCGAAAGUAAGACUAAUACCCAAUGACGUCUCUAGAAGACAUCUGAAGGAGAUUAAAGAUUUAUCGGUGAUGGAUGGGGAUGCGUCUGAUUAGCUUGUUGGCGGGGUAACGGCCCACCAAGGCGACGAUCAGUAGGGGUUCUGAGAGGAAGGUCCCCCACAUUGGAACUGAGACACGGUCCAAACUCCUACGGGAGGCAGCAGUGAGGAAUAUUGGUCAAUGGACGAGAGUCUGAACCAGCCAAGUAGCGUGCAGGAUGACGGCCCUAUGGGUUGUAAACUGCUUUUAUAAGGGAAUAAAGUGAGUCUCGUGAGUACUUUUUGCAUGUACCUUAUGAAUAAGGACCGGCUAAUUCCGUG